rnacentral:lncRNA from 1 species
GAUCUAAAUUCAAUGGCAGAACAGAAUGGUGAAUGCUACGUAUAUAUAAAGAGAUUUAAUUUUGGUAUGAUUGCCAAUGAGACAACUAUCCUCCAAAGUUCAAAUGAAGUGGGUUUAAGCAAUUAUAGGCAAAUGUGAGAAAACCCCAUACCGUAUACUAGUUGUCGGCUAUACUUGUUCCGACAUCUCCACCUCGCACGCACUCACAAUUUAGGGGUUCAAGCUCGGCUAGUCUUAGCGGACUCAAUUGUUCCGGUAUUUCGAUCGCUUGUUUUAAAGAUUUUUGGGAAAAUAAACAAAACGGUUGUAUUCAUAAGAUAGUAUUUUGAUUUGUCACAACUCGGCAAAUUCCGUACCUUUAUUGGAUAGACGAAGAGUAGCGGAGUCAUCCGAGGAUUGCCGAUUGAUAGUAUGCAUGGGCAUAUUGCUUACAAGUGUGUUCGUCUGAUCGUUAGGAUGCAAAUACGUUCAGCUGUUUGACUUUCCCGUAUGAGGUAAACAUUUAGGGAAGUUUACCAUGAAUGUUCUGUCAAAUCAUUUAGGAGAUUAAGCAUAUUCUACUUUUUCUUCAAAUUACUGUCCACAUUCAACAUAAUGAAUAUUCAUUAUGAUUUGAACUGUUUUAAGAAUACAUGCGAUCUUUGAACUAUGUACAUACACAUAUAUUGAUGGCACUGGCUACGGUUACUUGAAAAUGUAACAAUAAUAAAAUAAUAUUGUUAGAUUGGAUACUAAUUGCCGGAAUUCAGUGUUGAAUAAGGAACUGAUUAAUUACGAUUGUAACAAUCUUAUUUGAGUCUACGGUUACAUUGCGUUAUCGUUACAUACUUAUGCACUUCAAAUGUUCAAUGUACGCUAAAAAGUUAACAAUAAAUACAAAAGGUAUGUCUGGUAAUAGAGGCCAUAGAGGGAUGUAGCACGGAGAAAUUUGACCGGACGUGGCUUCAAACUUGUACAUCCCGCACAGCAAAACGAACGCCCCACUUUGGCAAGCAUUUUACUGUCGAUCGAAAAAAUACCACGUGACCCAGUCACCUUUAGGGCACAUACACAUAGGCUAUGUUUAUUUAAAAAUGACAGACCGUGAAAUAUUUUGUUCAUUUCAUGUUUGUAUUUAGCCAGUUAAUUUAAACUUGCUUUUAACAUUUGCAUCUUUGUAGGUGUAGGAUCUGGAGGUAUAGUAGAUAUGUUGAAGAGUAAUUUGGAUACAACAGACGUAGACUGCAAAAAAGAUUUAUUAUGUAAUGUCAUUCUGUCAGGAGCAACUACUUUGUUCCCUGGUAAGUAUGUACAGCAGAUUGUAUAUUCCGGGCAGGUAAACAGUUACUCCUUGCCAAAAAAUGCCAUUGAAAGUUACAUGUGUACUUCUAAAACUUGUUCUCUGUACAGGAUAACCGGGAUACCAUGUCUCAACUUACAUUUGGUCUUUGUUUACUCCGUGCCAAAAGGUAACAUUGUAAGUUCAAAACAGCGCUCUUAAUGUAUUUUGGAAAACUGUUUCUCUUUAUAGAAUAACUGGAAUACGAUGUCUUAACUCACAUGCGGUGUUUGUUUACUCCAUGCCAAAAAUGUCAUUGUAAGUUCAAAACAACGUUAUACAUGUACUUCUAAUACUAAGUACUUGUUUUCUGUAUAGGAUUACUGAGAUGCGAUGUCUCAACUCACGUGCGGUCUUUGUUUACUCUAUGCCAAAAAAUACCAUUGUAAUUUCAAAACAGCUUUAAAAGUGUACUUCAAAACUUGUUUUGCUGUAUAGGAUUACUGGGAUGUGUAUCUCAACUCACAUGCGGUCUUUGUUUACUGCCUGCCAAAAAAUACCAUUGUAAUUUCAAAACAACUUUAAAAGUGUACUUCAUGUUGUGUACUAUUUCUCGUUGAGACAUUUUGACUCAGUGUAGAUUAACAUUGCAGUUGAUUGAUGCAUAGCCGGAGACGCGCACCCUUUCGACGCAGACGAUAUUGCUCCUCUUUGAGUUCACGUGAUUCCCUCAUAUUUGUAAAAUUUAUAUGUAUAUGUAUAGAGAUAUAAGAAGAUGUGGUAUGAGUGCAAAUGAGACUCGUAUGUUCUUUAUGGAUUUUUGGGAUUCGAACUUUUGUAAACUACAAGUACACACCCGUGAUAUCGCGGGUCCGUGACUGAGUAAAGUAUAUAAUUAUGCCUAAGCCUUGUUUUAGUAAUUGGUAUUGUCAUCUGAUAAAGUCAUCUCGAUUAUAAGAUACACCGUUUUCUCUGCUUUCAAAUCUUUCUGUUUGAACCCGUCGACCUGGAACUUAUCAAUUAUUGGUAAUAUUAAUUAUUUGGAAAACAAAAGGUCCUGGCUAUCCAGGAAUGGAGUAUUUUUUAAUCAACAGCAUUGUCCUAUAUUGGUUAUCUUAGAAAGUCUUGCUGAUUUCUGAAUAAAACUACAAUAGGGAACAAUUUGACAAUGAUUGAAUUUAGUAGUGUCAGCCCUUUGAUUAUGACCCGUGUAUAUAGCAAAAUCCUAAAUACACCAUUUGGUGGUGCGCCUGUCAAAUGCGGAACGUACAGAUAAGGUCAUAGCUAACAGGUGAAUAUACUAUUGGUAUCGGUAUCGGAUUCGACCAGGAACUUGUUAAUUAUUGGCAAUAUUAAUUAUGUGGAAAACAAAAGGGUCUGGAGUGGUGUAAUUUUUAAUCUACACCAUUGUCCUAUAUUAGUUAUAUAUAGAGUUGAAUUCUUUGAUUUGUCGUUUUUACCCGAUGACGGCUGACAAAUUGGACCUCGUAAUUUUAGUAUUAUAGAUUGUUGACCUUAUUUAUAUGAUCGAUAUUUGAUAAGAUAUAAUCUAGCAUAGGUCAUCUGUCAAUCAACGAUAAACACGAAAAAAACCCUGAUUAGCUUAUAAAUCCAAACAGGAUUGGGUUCAAUAUCGUAGCAGCUACGUAGCUGCUAUCAAUAUCUAUGUAGAAACUGCUCGUUCAAUACCUAUAAAUCUACGUAGCACUUACGUAGCCGCUACGAUAUUGAACGCAAGGUUACGCGAAUUAGAAUCAAACUCGUAAAUAAUUUGCGAUCAAUCAUCAGUUAAUGACCUUUAACGAAGUAUUUAAAUUUUCCCUAUAACUUAGUGAUAUCUUUUGCACUCAAAUAAUGCCAGGAAAAAGGUAGAAAAAAACCAUUGCUGCAAUCAAUUGAAAAUGAGUCAUUUGCUUUUGUAUUGUCAAAAUAGUGAUUAUUUAGGCCAUCUUGUAUUUAAGAAAUGACUGUAAUAUUUUUUCUGUUUAUGAAGAAAUAACAAAAAAAAAAUUGGUGACACUGAAUAAAGAGCGUAGCGGGUUAUUUAACAGUGUGCACCACAUUUUUUAUGUUAUUUCGAAUAGACAGAAAAAAUAUUUUAGUCAUUUCUUAUAAUUUAAUUCUAAAUUCCAUUUUAAACCGUAGAAAACCAUGAAAAAACGUUGGUGACGUCACGGUCACAUGACUAAAUUAUGUCUAUGGGCUCAUAACAAAAUAACGUCAGCCAAUCAGAAGACGCGUUACAUCCAAAAUUAAAUUAUAUAAAAAUAUACAAAAUCAUAGUGGAAAAUUAUAAAGAAGACUUAAAUAACUAACAGAGUAAUUAAUAAAAAAUCGGCGUAUCAACAAAAAGACAGUAUAAAACAUACGAUCCCUGACAAACAAUGGUAUAUGGAACUAGUACAUGUUGUAUUUCAUGACUUGAAAUAUAUUUGAAUUCGUUAUUUAUAAAGGAAAAUAACGCCAUUCUUGAAGUUAACAAACUGGAGAACACUCUGCACAAAUGUCCAAUCAGAUAUAUAUUCCUUUAAGAACAUGUAAUACUUAAUAAAUGUUUUUUUUUUUUUUUAUCUAAUCAGGUUUUCCUGAGAGAAUUAGAGAAGGAAUAGAAUAUUUUGUUCCAAGAACUACGAAAGUUAAAGUGAUAGCUGUCCCAGAACGUGAAUCCUUAGUGUGGAUUGGUGGAUCUAUUUUAGGAUCUUUAUCCACAUUUCAAUCGUACUGGAUAACAAAACAGGAAUACGAAGAAUAUGGACCAACAAUCGUGCAUAGGAGAGAUUGACGAAUGGAAAAUCAAAACAAUCGGAACUGACUGGUUCAGUAUAUAAAGCAUUAUGGGUAAUAUCUUCAACUAUGAACAAAACCAUCAACAAAUGGACAAGUUAUUUAAAUAAAACUUAGAAAAUUAUACGUUAUUUUCAACGUCAUAAAACUAGCAAAAAUGUAAUGUGAUAUUGAACCUUUUUUUUUCUUCUCUUGUCUAUUAAAUACUUUAUAUCAAC